rnacentral:rRNA from 1 species
AUGAACGCUGACAGAAUGCUUAACACAUGCAAGUCUUUGGCGAAGCUGUGCUUGCACCGCCUAGCCAAGGCGGACGGGUGAGUAACGCGUAAGGAACUUGCCCUGCAGUCAGGGAUAACAGACGGAAACGACUGAUAAGACCUGGUAAAGUCAGGCGGACUCAUGUCCAGCCUGAUGAAAAGAGAUGCUGCAGGAGAGCCUUGCGUCCUAUUAGCUUGUUGGUGGGGUAACGGCCCACCAAGGCGAUGAUAGGUAGCCGGCCUGAGAGGGUGGGCGGCCACAAGGGGACUGAGAUACGGCCCUUACUCCUACGGGAGGCAGCAGUGGGGAAUAUUGGACAAUGGGGGCAACCCUGAUCCAGCAAUUCGGUGUGCACGAUGAAGGUUUUCGGAUUGUAAAGUGCUUUCAGCAGGGAAGAAAAAAUGACGGUACCUGCAGAAGAAGCGACGGCUAAAUACGUG